AUUGAACGCUGGCGGCGGGCCUAACACAUGCAAGUCGAACGCGUGGCGGACGGGGGUGUAAUGUCUGGGAAACUGCCCGAUGGAGGGGGAUAACUACUGGAAACGGUAGCUAAUACCGCAUACCAUCGGAUGUGCCCAGAUGGGAUUCGCUGGUAGGUGGGGUGACGGCUCACCUAGGCGACGAUCCCUAGCUGGUCUGAGAGGAUGACCAGCACCCCUGGAACGGAGACACUGUCCAGACUCCUACGUGAGGCAGAAGUGUGGAAUAUUGCACAAUGGGCGCAAGCCGGCUGCAGCCAUGCCCCGUGUGUGAAGAAGGCCUUCGGGUUGUAAAGCACUUUCAGCGGGGAGGCGUUACCCGCAGAAGAAGCACCGGCUAACUCCGUGCCAGCAGCCGCGGUAAUAC
rnacentral:rRNA from 1 species